AGAGUUUGAUCCUGGCUCAGAUUGAACGCUGGCGGCACGCUUAACACAUGCAAGUCGAACGGCAGCGGGGCUUACUGAGAGGUGAGUUGCCGGCGAGUGGCGGACGGGUGAGUAAUACGUAGGGAUCUGCCCUGAAGAGGAGGAUAACCUGAGGAAACUUGGGCUAAUACUGCAUAGACUCUGAGGAGUAAAGCUAGGUG
rnacentral:rRNA from 1 species